UUUCCAUAUGACUAAACAAUAGUGCACCUUGGCCAGUUUACUUAACAUGCUAGUAAUUGCCCAAAAGAAUAUGCCAGGUAAUAAAGGAAAUGAGGUAGCUUUGGUUGCAUCUUCCUGUUUGGCUGGAAAGUCCAGAAAGAAGAGGGGCAACAAGAAUAAGAGAUCUCCUGUUCCAGGUCCUUCCAAGAAAAUAGCCAAGCAGAAGAAGACCGAAGCUGGGCAAGGCAAAGGAAAGUGUUGCCACUGCUAGAAUGAUG
rnacentral:misc_RNA from 1 species